CAUAGAGCAAUUUGAUGUUUUUCUCUCAUAACAAAAUCAGUAUUAGCAUUAGCACCAGCAGCUGAACAGAGUAAACUGACCCCGUUUCAUAUAUUCAUUCAUACAAAGGAUAGACGACAUUUUGAUACAUUUAUUUUAUGCAAGAGCGAUCCCAUUAUUUAGUGAUAAGUUUAUAUAGUAGGGAAGAAACACACUUAUACAUCCAUUAUUCGGCAGAUCGAUGCACUGACAUGCAUCCAUUUAUUCAAGUUCCAGAGCACGGAAGGAAGCUAGGCAGGGGCUGGCUUUAUCAGCCGACAUGGGGUGCCUCGGCGACGAUGUCGACGAAGAUGCGGACGCGGUUGGGGCGAUAAUCCCUGGUCACCGGCGAGCCGACGGGCAGCACGACAAUGUCGGCGUCAGGCUUGUCCUUGAGGAUCACCUUCUUGGCUUCCUCCACGUUGAGCCCCACCAACUCCGGCCACGAUGUCUUGGCACCGCCGCUCUCUGGUGCCGCCGCCGUGGAGCUCAUGGUCGUCGUCGGUCGCGAACUGCGAAUAGCUAACUUUGGUCAGUUGAUGACGAUGCUGUGGCCUGCGAACUGAGGCCUUGUUUAGUUCGCAAAAUUUUUCAAGAUUUCUCAUCACAUCGAAUCUUACGGCAUAUGCAUGGAGCAUUAAAUAUACAUGAAAAUAAAAACUAUUUACACAGUUCAUCUGUAAACCGCGAGAUGAAUCUUUUGAGCCUAGUUACUCUAUAAUUGGACAAUGUUUGUCAAAUAAAAACGAAAGUGCUACAGUGCCGCUUUUCACCAGUUUUUGCGAACUGAACAAGGCCUGAAAGGAAAGAAACUAUACGACCACGACUAUAUUAUUGCACAAACAAUGACGUAAUAAGGUAUAUAUAUAUAUGUUGGGAAAAUGCUCUCCGCACGCCCCAGCGAUACGGUGGAUCGAGAACCUUCUCACUCGGUGCCGUGAGAGGUUUGAGCGCUGGCGAGCAGUGAACUCAACAGUAGGUGAAUACAGUGAAUGCGUUCUCUCUGUCCAUUAAUGACGGCAUCGCGCCCUUUAUAUAGGGCUCAGAAACCGACCCAAUGACGUUUACAAAAAUGCCCCGUGACGGUGGGGGAAUAUCCCAGCAUAUUCUCCUAUUGCGGUCUACUGACUCUAAGCCACUUGUGUAAUUUCACCUCACGAUCUCCACGCGUGUCUCCUGUCUAGGGCUUCAGCAGAUCGGAGACGCAGAUCCUCCGCCUGAUCGCGGAUCCUUCGACACUUCAUGCGUCGGAGGUUCUUUGGCUCGGGCGCGUCGGAGGUUCCUCGGUUUAGACGCCGUGGAGGUUCUCCGGGCCGCUUGGUCGCCGAUCCUUCGACGCUUCUCCGUCGGAGGUCCCUUAUCCCGGACGCGUCGGAGGUUCUUUGCCUCCGGCGCGUCCUUAGCCAUCCUCAGACUUGGGAGGGUCGGAGGUUCCUCCUUCCUCUGCUUGUUGGCCUCCGACGAUGUCAGUCCCUGCACACACUUAGCAAGACAAGUCGAGUCAUCAACGCCAGUCUCUUUCUAGGGUCCUCCACGCGCAUUCCCACGGAGGUUUCCUUGGCGAAGGAUAUCCUCCGACCCUUCGGGAGUCGGAGGUUCCUUGGGCAAAGGGUAUCCUCAGACGCUACCAGGGGGAAGGAUGCGGCCAUUCCCCAACAGUUCCCCCCUUUUUGGGCUAAUGGCACUCCUGCGGUCCAUGUGCUCAAAAACAUGUCGCGCUGCGGAGGCUGCGAGCAUGGUUGCUGCCUUCCCCCCUGGUGCGCAGGAUGUGGUUGUUAGCUGUGCUGUAAAAUUGUUUAUUGUACUUAGACAAAAUUUUGUUUCUCAGCACCUUCCGCUCACUGUUGUUCUGAUAUCCUUCGUGUGUUGGAUUGCGGAGGAUGUUAUAGCCGUUGGAGUUAGCCGUUGGUAAUGGGGAAUUGCAACGGUCAGGCCGAUUCCUACGCUUAUAGCCGUUGGUCGUGGGGAAUCGCAACGGUCAUGUUGCCGCAGGCCCCCCCCUAUAAAAGGGGGUGGGGGAGGAGCUCUUGGCUAUCACCCAUGCUGCCUGCUGUUUGCAUACAUUCCUUCGCCACAUUUCACUCUCUGAGCUGCUCGCGUGCGCUUUUGCUGAUUUUAGUUCAUAAGUGUGGUCGGAGGAUCUAAGGUGGCUCAUCUUCCUCCGCCGCGUCCUUCGAGGUCAGAUUUUUCUGGUCCUUUGCGUAAUUUACUUAGUGUGAGGUCCGGAGGUUGGCUGCGGAGAUUUGAGGAGUGGAUGCUUGAGGUGGCAGCAGCUCAAGAUCUGGAGGAGACGUUGUCUGACGUUGAAGCUUCAGUUGGGGAUCUGAUCAGUGCGAAGGAAUUUGAGGAGAUGGCUGCGAUCACUUUUGAGUUUGGUGAGUCUACUGUAAGGACGGAGGACAUUGCUGAUAUGGUUUUGGCUAGGUUUUUCAAGGAGGGUCGUGCGAAGGCUGCUCCUGCGGGUCAGACGGUACCUGUGCCUGAGGAGGGAUAUGCGGUUGUAUUCAGGGACUUUUUUACCUGCGGACUUCGGAUGCCUCAGUACCAUUUUCUUCGCGAGGUGAUGGAGAGUUUCAACGUUGAGCUGCAGCAUUUCAGCCCCAAUGGGAUACUGACCCUUAGCAAAUUUUUGUGGGCGUGUGAAUCCUACGGAGCCAUGCCCCACAUUGACACUUUCUGCUCGUAUUUCGAACUUCAGCGCCAGCCUAAGAAGGUGAAGGAUGCCGAAGGUGUUGAGUGCAUUGCGCAGUUUGGAAGCUGCGCGUUCAUGCCGCGCCGCACAAUGCCUGGGCCAAGGUGCGAGAUCUCCUACUGCCAAAAGGGCAAGUGGGAGAAGGAUUGGAUGAGAGCCUGCUUCUACGUGAAGACCCCCGCUGCGUCGAGGACUUUGGAUGACGGUAGCGUUGAUAAGGUUUACCCUUACGCAUCGUUGAUGAAGGAGUUGAAGCCUAUUUCGAAGGUUGAUCCUUCGAAGCCGGUGUCGGAGGAACAGCUUGAGGCGCGAUUGGCUUGCGACAAGGCCUUUGCGCAGGCUUGCCGAUACUCCGGAGGUCGGGACCUGGUCGAGGAGAUGGUUGCAGCCGACUACUGGCCCCUUGGCCGUAGGACUGACGAGUUCACCAUUGAAAUGGUGCAAGUACCAGUCUUUGGUCCUCCGGAGGGGUUGCCGUUUCCUCGAUUUGGCGCGGGUUUGCCUGAGGAUGAGACGCAGGAAUCUUUCCUUGACCGCGUGGAGGUUUCUGCUCGAAGGAUCGUUGGAAAGAUCUCAGAGAAGGAAUACCUCCAGCGGAAGUCCGCACUUGGGACUAUGCCGCGUUUCAAUCGCGUUUUUGAAGAGUUGGGGAUCGAGUAUGAGGAUUAUGUCGUUCCUCCGGAGGUUCUUCUUGGUUUGGAGAAGAAGAAGGAUUCCUCCAAGGCUGUUGCUGCGGCGGAGGCUAAGAAGAGGAAGGGUGGUGGUGCUGUCAAGCAGCUGGCGAAGAAGCGAAGGGCGGAGGUUGUGCUGGAGACUCCUGUGGAGUCUGCCUCCGCCCGCUCUUCUGCUGCCGAGUCAAACUCGGUGGCUUCUGCUCCUGCGGAGGCCGAUCCUGCUGGUGGAGCUCCUGGGGUUGAAGCCUCGCGUGCGGUCUCUUCUGUGCGAGCGCCUUUCGCGUCCCUUCUUGGGGAGGAGUCUUCCGACGCGGAGGCCCCUGAGGCGAGUCCUGCGCGGGAGUCAAAUCCUGCAGUGGAUGAGGGUCCUGCGCGUGGGGCUUCAGUUGGCAGAGGGUCUCCGGUAAAGGAUGUGCGGGAUGAAUCCAGUGACGAUGCAGAGUCCGUCUCUGUUCGGAGGAUUAAGAGGGCGGAGGAUCUCCCGCGUCCGGCUGGAGAUGGUAUAAACUCGUUGUACAUGGGUAAAAUUUUUGUUGAUUCUUGUUUUUGUUUAUAUAAUUUUUUAUUGACUUGGUCUCAUGUUAUUUAUAUAUCUUUCAGAGGAUGUUUUUGCUGGGUUGGCUACCGCGGAGGAAUUGGCCAAAGGCGCCAGCGUUGCGCAGGAAGGACUUGCUGUUCCUCCACGGCGUGAGCCUGCGGCUUCUGCGUUAGCAAGUAGGCCUUCGCCUGCUGAUGUUCUUGGUCCCGGUGAGUUUCUUCUUUUUUGUUCAACACAUUGGUUUGUUUUUUUGGUUUUUUAUUCUAAGGUUUGUUUUGGUUUUGUGCAGGUGCUUCUGAUCCUUCGAUCACAGGUUGGACUGAUGCCUUGCGCGAAGUUCAUUCCUUGGUCGGAGGUUCGUUUUUUUUGGCCUCCGCCAACUGGUUUUGGGUCCUUACGAUUUUUUUUCCUUACUUGUUUCUGCUUUACAGAUCGUUUCCGUCAGAAGCUCCGUAGCAUGGACUUUGACACGCUACUCCGCGUGCAAUUUGAGCACCAUAGCCUUGUACGUUUACGAUGUGUUAUAUCUUCCUUCGCAGUUUUUCGCUCGGAGGUUUGUUGUAACUUUUUAUUUUUGAGCAGGGUCAUCACAUGGCUGCCGCCUUGGAGGAGCGUUGCUCCCGGGAGGUUAUCUGCCGUGACGAGGCGAUUGGUGCUCUAAAGAAGGAGAACGAGACCUUGGAAGCUGAGAAGGCUCGCCUGUCGGAGGAGGUUAGGGGGUUUUCCUCCGUCCGGCGAGAGAUUGAUUCCCUGAAGAAGGAGAGGGAUGAUUACAAGGCUAGGUCGGAGGUUCUAAAGAAGGAGAAAGAAGAUGCUGAAGCUUCAGCGGCUGUCCUUCGCACGAGUGUCGCCGAGGCGGAGGCGGCUAGGGAUUUGGCUAUGCAGCGAGCCGAGAAGGCGGAGGACAUUGCUGAACGCCUUCGCAAGGAGCUUGAUGCUGAGCGGAUGUCUGCGGCUGAGUUGCAGACGCGCAUGCAGAAGGCGGAAGCGGAGGCUGCAGCUAUUGUUGGGCUCUAUGCCGACUCGCUUGCGAGUUCAGGGGAAGUACCUCUGCUCCUCCGCCCGGUGGCGACGUUAGGGCUGCCCUCGCAUGGCUGAAGUCUCAUAUCCGCAUGCUCCUUGACUUUGUUGGGGGUGCUGUUGAUUUUGGGGCUUUGGCCGUGGUUAGCUCCUUCGCUAGGCUUUUGCGCCGCGAAGGUUGCUCUCAUGCAGAGGGAGUUGCCAAGGAGGAAUUUGCUGCGGCGGAGGACGUUGGCGAAGGCACCUCCAGUCUACGCAAAUCUAUCCGGAACUUUAUCAGUUCGUUCUGGAUUAGGUUUGGGCGGGCUGAGGCGAAGAAGAUGGCGGAGGCUCGUCGCGCUGAGGUAUUUUUGAUUUGGUUUUUUUUUGUAUUCUGUUUUGCUGCUUUGCAAUGUAUCUUAAGUUUGCUGUCUUGCAGGAGGUUGCCAAGAAAGCGGCUAAGGUUGACAAGCCCGGUCCUUCGCGUCCCCCUAGCGAAGCGCGUCCUUCGACUCAGGCUGAGGCGGAGGUUCGUGACGCAGGUGCUAAGGCUCCGGAGGAAUCUGGCGCCAAAGCUUCAGCGCAGGCUGAGACUUCUGCUCCUCCUCCGCCUCAGGUGUGAGGUUAUUUAGUUUGUAGGUUUUUUUUUGUUUUUUGCGUCUGCCGCACAUGCGACGCUUUUUUGUAAGAAAUGUCGGAGGUUUUGAUUAACUUGUAAAGACUGUUGGAAAUGUAAUAUAUUGGUUUGUUUUUUUGGGUAAACCUUUGUUUUACACUCUGAUCCUGCGCAGGUCUCUGGCGGAGGACCUGCGCAGGAUCUUAGCGUGACUCCGCUUUCAAUUUUCUAUAGAGGAAUUUAUGUUUCUGGCGAGUUGUGGGAGUACUGGCGGAUUGCCUUCCCUAAUAUGAGAGUGGUGGAUAUGUUUGAGUUUGUUGGAUAUGACCUAGAUGACGAACGAUCUGAAUUCGUCCGGUCGCUUGCGCGCCGAGGUUCAUGGCCUUCGGCUUAGGUGGUGGUUUUUGUUUUGUUUUUCGUUUGGCGUAGGUCAUGUGUAUAUCUCUUUGACAUGGUUUGUUGUGUUUGUGCAGCUGCCAUAUCAUAUCCUUCGCAUCUUCGGUGAGAAGGAUAGGGUACGCUGGGUGUCGGAGGUUUCUGAAGAUUUGGCCGAGCCUUUUCUUCAUGGUUAUCCGGAGGUUCGAGAGAUUUGCUAUACGUUUUGGUUUUAUCCUUCGUUUUGGUUGGUUUUGAAAUUGUUCUUUUGCGAAGGUUGUGAGAUCUGCUCCUGAGGAGGUUCUUCCUUCGAACUUUGCUGAAGGAAGCUACGUUACUCCGGUGACGUUCAAGCGUGGGGAUCUGUACGCGAGGGGUUAUCUGAUUGAUUGGUGGCGUCAUAAGUAUCCUACGCGUAGUAUUGAUGACUUAGUUGAUUUUCUUGUUCGUGAUUACUGCGAUGACCUUAGGCUUUUUCCAGAUUCGUAUGUAAGAAUUGUGCGAGAAUCUUAGAACCUUCGACGUUUGACGGUCGGAGGAUGUUUCUCGUUUUUUUUGUUGUAAACUUUUGUUCUGUACGUUGUAUAUAGUAAAUAAAGAUCAGACAUUUUUACCAUUGAUUUGGCCAUGGCCUCCGCACUUUUUGGUUUUAUUUUUAUUACAACCUUCGCGCUACAGCGUUUAUACAUUGCAACGUCACGGUGGUGUUGAUCCUAAGGAUCUUUGUGUUGCUGUAGCCUGCUUGUGUUUGAUGCUUGAUAUUGCGAAGGUAUUGGCGAUUGUUUCUUGUGCGCAGGAUCGCCGCUUCCUGGCCUUAGGACCUUCGACUUUUCUAGUGCGGAGGAUCCUCUGCUGAAUUGUGCUAUUUUUUUACUUUGCUCAACUCCCGUGGAGUGUUGUCGAGGAGAACCUUCGGGAUGUGUGUCGAAGGUUCUGAAGGGAUGUUACGAGACUUCGUGCGAUACCCUUCAGAGACCUCUGAGUCUCACUUGUAAAUCUUUUGUUGUGGUUGUACACGACUCUGUGGUCGAUGUUCAUCACAACGCCGUGGUUCUAACAUUACGAAGCUUCGUGCAAUACAAACUUUUGUUGUUGAUGUAAGGCUAACUCCUGCUUCCAUGGUGGCCUAAAUUUUUUCCUUUGUGACUGCUAGGUUUGCACUCGAUGUUUGGGUCUUUGUAUACUGAUCCUGGUUGAGGUUGGGGGCAAGGUGAGCCUGGUUUUAUAGGCUUUGAUGCAUUUAUUUUAUGUACUCUGUUAGGUUAAAAUUUAUUAUCGAGAUAUUGAUGGUUGUUGUGGUAGUUGGUUUUGCUGUACCUGACUGAGGGUUAUUGUAGUUUUGUUUUAUUUUCACACUUUGUUUGUUGGGGGUCUGCUUAGAGUAGCAGGAUACCUUCGACCUUAUUUUGGUGAAGGUUAUGUGAAUUUGGUUGAGGUCUGUCUUGUGAAUGUUAAACCUCCGCUGCCUUUUGGCAAAAAUAAUAUAGUUCCUGAUGCCUGAUUGUCCUCAGGUCUUUGUCAGGUUUGAAGGUUUUGUUCCUUCUGGCCAUGUUGUGAUGCCUGAGGAGGACAGGACUUUUUCACUUUUUGGCCAUGCUAUCCUUGCUGCCCGGCUCUUGGCUAGGUCUUUUGCUAAGGAUUUGGUGUUUUUUCACCUUUGAGGACGUUCCGAGCUUUCUUAACUUUUGGAUGAAAGCUGCGGAGGGUCCUUGUGAUCACGUGAUGUUUUGUCGAAUGCUACAGCCUCGUUGCUGGCUGUUUUUCGACUUUUGGGCUUUGGUUCUGGGGUGGAUUCCUCUUUAUAUCUCAGAGGUUUUUACAUAGGUUCUGCCUCGUUAAAAACCUCACCUCCUGGUAGGAGUACCCCUGUGAGGAAAAAAAGAGUGCAGACCUUGGAGUGCGAAAAAGUAGAGAGAAAAAGAAAACAAGCGUAUUUAGGGACGUGGAUGCCGCCGCUUAUUUUGCGGGGGUCAUCCUUACACUCAAAUGUAAAAUCUUCGUAGAUUGUCGACGUUCCACGUGUGGGUGGAGGUUCUACCUUCGAGGUCUUUCAGGUAGAAGGAUCCCGACCUUCCCGCUUGUAUUGCUGUAUAAGGUCCUUCCCACUUGGGUUGCAAUUUACCAGCGUUUGGGUGAUCUCCUUUUUUCCUGAGUACCAGGUCCCCAUUCUGUAUGUCUUUUCGUACUACCUUGCGGUCUCUCCAUUUCUUGGUUUCUUGUUGAUACCUGGUAAUGUUCUCCACUGCCUCAAGUCUUAUUGAUUCUAAGGUUUCCUUACAGUACUCUUCAUCUUCAGCCAACUGCUGCUUCAUGGAACGCAGGCUUUGGUGUUUGAUUUCUUCGGGCAACAUUGCCUCUUCCCCAUACAAGAGCUUGAAUGGAGUGAACCCAGUUGUUCUUGAAACUAUUGUGUUAUGUGACCAUACAACUAUGGGUAGUUCUUCAACCCAUUUUCCCUUGCGUAGGUUGAGCAAGGUCUUGGAGAUUGCGGAGAAUAUUGUUCUGUUUGCUCUCUCCACGGCCCCGUUUGACUCUGGGUGAUAAACAGACGCGAAAGCAAUUUUGGUUCCUAUGUGAUGGCAGAAUUCCUUGAAACUGUCUGAAUCAAACUGCUUCCCGUUGUCGACUGUGAGCAAGCUUGGAACUCCGAAUCUGCAGACUAUGUUCUGCCAGAAAAAAUUCCUGAUUGUUUCAGAGGUUAUGGUUGCCAGUGGCUUAGCUUCGAUCCAUCUUGUGAAGUAUUCGAUGGCUACGACGGCGAAUUUGUUUCCCCCCUAGGCAGUUGGCAUUGGUCCUACCAGGUCCAUUCCCCAUCUCUGCAACGGCCAUGAUGCUGGUAUGAGCUGAGUUAGUGCUGAAGGUCCUGAUUGAAUUGGUGAGAAGGUUUGGCAAGCUUUGCAUGUCUUCACUAUUUCUUGUGCAUCUUUGAUGUGGGUUGGCCAGUAGAAGCCUUGUCUUAAUGCUUUAGCAGAUAAUGCGCGAGGUCCAAUGUGAGAACCGCAUAUUCCAGAGUGUAUCUCUUUCAGGAGUUCUCUGCCUUCGCUUUGUGAUAUGCAUCUCAGCAAAGGUUGGACUACGCCUUUCUUGUACAGGACCCCGUCAAUGGUGGUGUAAUUCCUUGCUCUUGCCUCCAUCCUCUUGGCUAAUGCUUCGUCAUCUGCAGCCGUUUUGCCUUUGAGAGAAUCAACUACUGCUUGCCUCCAAUCCUCGCCUUCUGUCAGCAGAACUGAGCGAAAAGCUUUCGGCAAUGAUUCAGUUGCGGGUGCUGCGACGAUUUGGUAGAAGGUUCCUUCUGGCAAGGGGGUGUUGUUGGCUGCUGCCUUUGCUAUCUCGUCUGCCUCGUAGUUAUCGGCUCUAGGAAUGUAAUGCAGAGUGAAUCCCUCGAACCUUCUCUCCAGACCUCUUACAACAGCCAGAUAUCUUGCCAGCUCCGGGUUGUGUGCUAGGUAUUCCUUCUCCACUUGUCCUGCCACCACCUGGGAGUCUGUUUUGAUGAGCAGGGUUUUUGCUCCGGAAGCCUUAGCUUUGUUCAGCCCGAGGAUGAGACCUUCAUACUCAGCUAUGUUGUUUGUUACUUUGAAUUCGAGUCUCGCGGCAUAUUUUAGCCUGAGUCCGGAUGGCGCGAUCAGAACGGCUGCUGCUCCUGCUCCUGACUGCCCCCAGGCGCCAUCUGUGUACAGUGUCCAUGGCUGGUCGACUACCUUCUCCUCUUUUUUGUUCGAAGGUGUCCAAUCUGCCAUGAAGUCAGCCAGGGCUUGAGAUUUGAUGGAGGUUCUAGGGACAUAGGUGAUGUCAAACUGUGAUAGCUCGGCCGCCCAUUUUCCUAUAAGUCCGGAAGCCUCUUUCUUCCUAAGGAUGUCACCCAAUGGCUGUGAAGUGGGUACUUUGAUCUCAUGGCUUUGGAAGUAAUGCUUGAGUUUCCUUGAUGCACACAGGACUGCGUACGCGAUUUUUUCGAUCUCCGUGUAGUUCAACUUUGCUCCUGACAGAGCUUCGGAUACGUAGUAAACGGGUCUUUGCACCGUUCCCUUACUGUCGCUUGUCUCGUGCACCAGAACACCACUGACGGUGUGCUCGGAAGCAGCCACAUACAGUAGUAGUGGAGUGUCUGGCUCGGGCACUGUUAUCACCAGGUUGGUCACAAUGUAAUUCUUGAGCUGCCUGAAGGCCUCUGAUUGUUCCGGACCCCAUUCUGUUUUACCUUCUCCUCUCAGCACUUUGAAGAAUGGAAGGCUCCGUUCUGCCGAUCUUGAAAUGAAUCUGUUGAGGGCUGCUAUUCGGCCAGUCAGCCUUUGCACUUCUUUCUUGUUUGAGGGUUCUGCCAUUGACAUGAUUGCUUUUGUCUUGUCUGGGUUAGCUCUGAUUCCUUCGGAGCUGAUGAUAUAUCCCAGCAUUUUUCCCUUGCUGACCCCGAACACACACUUCUCUGGGUUAAGUUUCAGCCCGGCAGAUCUAAGGUUGACAAAGGUUUCCUGCAGGUCCUUGAUAUGGUCCUCCUUGCGCUUGCUCAUGACGACAACAUCGUCGACGUAGGCUAUAAUGUUUCUCUGUAGCUGACUUCCUAGAACCUUCCCCAUCAUUCUGGAGAAGGUUGCUCCAGCGUUUUUAAGACCUUCUGGCAUUCUGGUGUAGCAAUACGUGCCGAAUGGGGUUGUGAAGCUUGCCUUCUCCUCGUCUUCCUUUUUGAGCCAAACUUGGUGGUAUCCGGAGAAACAAUCCAGUAGUGAAAAUCUCUGGCAACCAGCGGCUUUGUCAACGGAGGUAUCUAUCCUUGGCAAGGGGAAGGAGUCUUUGACACAAGCCUUGUUGAGGUCUGUGAAGUCUAUGCACAUUCUCAUUUUACCAUUCUUCUUGGGGACCAGGACCACAUUCGCCAGCCACUCCGGGUACAUGACCUCUCUGAUGACCUUUGCGUCCAGAAGUCUUUGUACCUCUGCCUUCGCGGCUAAGGUUCUUUCUUCAGACAUUUUUCUCUGUCUCUGUUUCUUUGGUCUCAUUCUCGGAUCGAUGUCCAGCGAAUGCUCUAUGAUAUCUCUGCUGACUCCCUGUAGGUCAGCGGCACUCCAAGCGAAGAUAUCUUGAUUCUUUUGCAACACGUCCAGCAAAUCGAGUUCCUCUUCUCUACUGAGGGUGGCGGAGAUGGUGACCUUCCUAUCUGGAAUGGCCUCCUGCAGAGGGACACAUUUCGUUUCCUCCUGAUCGGCCAGGUCUGUUUUACCCCUUGGCAUGUCUGGUGGCUGGGAAGCUUCAUGUUGCGUAGAGUCUACGGAGUUUAUGUUCCGGAAGGACUUGUAGAUUGCUUUCUCUAUGUUCCUUGCCUCCUUUUGACUUCCGUGAACCGUUAUCACUCCGUGCAGAGCCGGGAUUUUCAUGCACAGGUAUCCCAUAUGAGCGGCCGCAUUGAACUUGUUCAAGAAUCCUCGCCCGAAUAGGGCAUUGUAUGGGUAGUGCAGGUCUACCACAUCGAAGGUGACGUACUCUGUUCUUGCGUUCUCCAUUGUGCCGAAGGAUACGGGCAAGGCGACCUUCCCCAGAGCAUGUAUCUGCUUUCCUCCGAACCCGAUCAAAGGUGACUCCGAAGGUUGGAGUUGGCUUCUACUGAGCUUCAUUUGGUCAAAGGUUCCAGCAAAUAUUAUGUCCGCGGAACUCCCUGAAUCCACUAAGAUCCUGCUUACUCCCCAACCCGCAACAUUCGUUGUUAUGACCAAGGCAUCUGUGUGAGGGUAGCUUUCCAACCUCAGAUCUUCCUCGGUGAAGGUUAUUGGGGUUCUGGACCAAUCGGUACAUCUUACUGGUCCUUGAACUGCAACGUUGUUAACGUGCCGGAGGUGAUCCUUCUUCUGCUUCUUUGUCUGGAACUCCAUUGAGGACCCUCCAGCUAUUGGUAAGAUCAUUCCAAUCGUGGGCAGGGGUGUAUGAGGGCCGAUCUGAUUAUCGGGGUGGGGUUCGAUUUUCGGUGGAGGUGGAGCCUGGACUAACUGUAGCUGGUUUGGGGGAGGAGGCAGUGACUGCUGGUGGAGUUGCGGGGUUUCGAUGUAUGUAAUAUGUGGAGGUCGCGGAGGAACAUAGUUUGGUGGAAGGUUGUGAUCCGCGGGUUGCUGGGCUGGGCGCCAAGCUGGUAGGAAGCUGGGAUAGUAAGCGGAGGCUAGCGCGCUGGGCUGAAUUGGAGUUGAGUGGCUCUGGCCUGAUCCUCCGACAUAUGAAUGGUAGAAGGUUUGAGGGAAUGUGUGAUUCACCUCCCGAGGUUGAGCGACUGGUGUCGGUGUUUGUGGAGCUGACCUACUCUUAAUCCUCUCUUGAGUUUCCUUUGCAUCCGGGCAAUCUCUGGUGGAGUGACCCUUCUCCUCUCCAUGGAAGAAGCAAUAUUGCUUCCGCGGCCGCUGACUUUGGUUUUUCUGCCAUCCUGCGUUUCGACCCCCUCUUCCGGCUUGAUUGGGUCUGCGUUCCGGGUUUCGCGUCUCCGCCGGUGGAUGGUUGUGUUCUGGUCUGUCAUUCUUUGGUUGCUCAAUAUUCAUCAUCUGUCCACUAGCCUCUCGCUGUGGCCGGCGUUCAUCUUGGCUAAGGCCCCUCUUCUGCGAGUUUCUGUCAUUGCCCUGCCUCUUCUGGGAGUUUUGAUCUUCCAACCUCCUGCGGUAGUCGUUGUCUGACCUGCAAUAUUUUUCGAACUCAUGAUACAGUUCGUGCAUGGAUGUCGGUUUUUCUCUGGCCAAGUGAGCUGCGAAAGGUCCUAUGCGGAGACCUUUGAUAGCUGCCUCAAUGGCAACCUCUUCCGGCACGCCUGGUGCUCUGGCCUUGGUCUGCACGAAUCUUUGGAAGUAUUCCCGCAGUGCCUCUCCCUGACUUUGGCGACACUGGAACAGGUCCGUGGAGGUUAGGGAUUCAACUGCGAACCCCUGGAAAUUUGCCAAAAUCUUGUCUCGAAGGUUCUCCCAUGAAUAGAUCGACCCGGGCCUGAGCAACGAAUACCACGCCAAGGCAUCUCCUUCGGCCGCAAUUACGAAGGAUUUCGCCAUUACAAUGUCGUUCCCCCCAGCCGAGGCUACAGCUGCCUCGAAACUCAUCAGAAAUUGGCGGGGGUCAGCUUUUCCGUUGAACUUGGGGAGCGUGAUUGGUUUGUAGGUCGCCGGCCAAGGUGAGGUUUGCAAUCCUUCGGAUAAGGGGGAACGAAGGUCCAAUGUGCUCCCCAGCGCGCCGCCGUAACUUGUUAGCUGCGCACUUACUGACGGUCCGGCGCCGGGUCGGGCAGUGGGUUGGACCGUUGGCUGUGGAGGUUGCAUGCUAAGGAUCUCCGCCUGCAAGAUUGAAAGCUGCUGCCUGAUCUCAGCUGCCUGCGUUGCAGCUACUGCUGCUUCUUGGCUGGCGGCGUAGGCGGCAGCGAUCCGGUCUCGCUCCUGCUGAAGGUUCUGCAGCUGCGUCUGCAGUGUCUGGAGCUCUUGCGCGGCCGUGGGUUGUGCCGGGCCUGCGGCGGGAGAAGGUUCCUGGCUGGGAUCCGGCUGCUCGUUUCCCGGCUGCUCGCCCUCAGAGCCUUCCCCCUCUACGGUCGCAUACGUGCUCCGCACGGCCCUUCUCAGCCUUCCCCUCCUGGGGGGCUCUGCCCGAGGUCUUGUGGUGCUAGUUCUCUUUCCAGCCAUCGUAGGUGAUCCUUCGUCGCCCCACAGUGGGCGCCAAUGUUGGGAAAAUGCUCUCCGCACGCCCCAGCGAUACGGUGGAUCGAGAACCUUCUCACUCGGUGCCGUGAGAGGUUUGAGCGCUGGCGAGCAGUGAACUCAACAGUAGGUGAAUACAGUGAAUGCGUUCUCUCUGUCCAUUAAUGACGGCAUCGCGCCCUUUAUAUAGGGCUCAGAAACCGACCCAAUGACGUUUACAAAAAUGCCCCGUGACGGUGGGGGAAUAUCCCAGCAUAUUCUCCUAUUGCGGUCUACUGACUCUAAGCCACUUGUGUAAUUUCACCUCACGAUCUCCACGCGUGUCUCCUGUCUAGGGCUUCAGCAGAUCGGAGACGCAGAUCCUCCGCCUGAUCGCGGAUCCUUCGACACUUCAUGCGUCGGAGGUUCUUCGGCUCGGGCGCGUCGGAGGUUCCUCGGUUUAGACGCCGUGGAGGUUCUCCGGGCCGCUUGGUCGCCGAUCCUUCGACGCUUCUCCGUCGGAGGUCCCUUAUCCCGGACGCGUCGGAGGUUCUUUGCCUCCGGCGCGUCCUUAGCCAUCCUCAGACUUGGGAGGGUCGGAGGUUCCUCCUUCCUCUGCUUGUUGGCCUCCGACGAUGUCAGUCCCUGCACACACUUAGCAAGACAAGUCGAGUCAUCAACGCCAGUCUCUUUCUAGGGUCCUCCACGCGCAUUCCCACGGAGGUUUCCUUGGCGAAGGAUAUCCUCCGACCCUUCGGGAGUCGGAGGUUCCUCGGGCAAAGGGUAUCCUCAGACGCUACCAGGGGAAAGGAUGCGGCCAUUCCCCAACAAUAUAGCACACUCACGGUGUGUGUGGGGUCAAGGCGAUAUGUAUGGCUUCUUGUAUACUGCUGCUGGUUAAGCGAGCUAUGCACCGGUGUGGUGUUUAUAGAUCGAGCUGCUAGCUGCAGGUUCGAUGUGUGCGUAUGUGUUCAUCAGGAUUUUUUUUAGUACCUAACAGUAGUGCAAGUGAUAAUGUUGACGGACGGUGCCGAGAAAUCGUAGCUGCUCCACCGCUAACAAUAAUUGCAUCCAUUAUAUACGCACGAGGAACACGAGGUGGCCCCUACUGCAGCCAGUAAAAAACAAGAAAAGAAAAAGAUAUAUAGCAACGCUACAUGGAACAUCCAUGGUUUCUCCUCGCCUGCAACCAAUAUCGCCAGUCAGUAGCUUCAGUACGCGCGUACCUAGCUGACACACUGACUGAGAGAUUUUUUUGUUGUUGUUGUUGUUUUUUUUUUUUGCGAGCAACUGACUGAGAGAUUGUACUCAGGCCUUGUUUAUUAGUUCAUCCAAAAAUCAAAAAAAUUUUAAGAUCUCCGUCACAUCGAAUCUUACGUCACAUGCAUGAAGCAUUAAAUAUAAACGAAAAUAAAAACUAAUUGCACAGUUUAUCUGUAAAUCACGAGAUGAAUCUGUUGAGUCUAGUUAAUCUAUGAUUGAACAAUAAUUACUAAAUAAAAACGAAACUGCUAUAGUAUCGAAAAGCAAAAAAAUUUCGAAACUAAACAAGACCUCAAUUUCAGUUAAUAUAGCCUGCAUAUGGAGAAGCCAAAUAACCGACCAAUUGGUGCGUGGUGGAUCUAUCAUCGAUCGAUCAGUUAAUAUAUAUAAGCUGUCGACGAUCUCAUUAAUCUAUCCCAAAUACUAUCUUUGUGGUAGAACUUUUUUUUGCUCUUUAGACAUUGUGAAUGUCUGUAUAUGUAUUGUACUAUACAAUUUUCAAAAAAAAAAAGUAGCUUUACCCUGCUUCUCUGACGGUGCGUGGGUCCUCCCCAACAUAUGCAAUAGAGACACCAAAGGCGUGGGGUGCAAGGCCGCUGGAGUAGAUCCACUGAGGGGGUUGGUCAUGGAGUCGUCGUCGGAGCGCUAGGCACAGAUGGAGGCACAAACCGCAGGAGAGGCGUCGCGUGAACAAAACAAACAGAAAGAAAAAAAGAGAGAGAAAAAUGAGAGGAGAAAAAAAAUGGAAAAGAGGAUAUUAUGGCCAUUUCAUACGGCCAUUCAUACAUUUGUAUCUAUCACGAGGAUUUUUUUUUUCAUGUGAAGCAGAAUUGUAGGACCCUGGACUCUCGAGAAUGUUCAUAAAGAUAAGAUAUAUAGGGUGUGUGCCUUUAUGGUCAUGAUUGUGUUUAAUAAUAAAUAUAUACUAAUUUUAGUGAUAUCAUGUCUUGGAUGACCCAAGGUAAUGUAAGGACACUACACCCGGAUGCUUUCACGUGUUGGACAUGCAAACAGGAUAAUCCAACCGAUAUAUAAAAACAAUAUCUCGCGGCAGAUAAUAAUAAAUAAUAAUAAUAAUAAUAAUAAUAAUAAUAUAAAAUACGGGUCACUGUAUGUAGCUUCAAUAAUUCUGUUUUUGUUAUCCUUUUCUUCCUUAGACGAUCGAUUGUGCUCAAAGUUUGGAGCUAUACAUUUUGUGGCAAAAGUUAUGGCCAUUUGAAACCAGAAAAGUUUGAUGCCAUUGAAAUCUCUUGCCAAGUUCUAGUUCUAAAUAACUAUCUGUUUUUUGACUAUAUAUUCAAUUGUUCUCAAACAAAAAAAAGUUAAAUAGUAGACACAAUAAGUAAUUACUUCACGGUGGUUCCUUACGGUAAACUGGGAUUCAAAUCUUCGAUUUGAUAUGGGUGCUCUUAUUUUUCUGAAUUUAUAUAAAGUGCUUGUAUAGAUAAUUUUCUGAAUUUAUAUACACAAUACAAGUGGCAUAUUGUAACAAUAGUAUAAUAAAGCUCUGUACUGGCAUUUCCAAACAUAUUUGCACAUGCGUUUUUCAAACCCGCCAGCAUUAGGGGCUAGUGGAAAUGAAAACUUUCCACUGCCUGAGGACCGCCAGUGAAAAUACAUUUCCACUAGCGGUUAGAUAAGAUAACAGCCAGUGAAUAUACAUACCGUUCGGCCAAGUAUAUAUAUCCAUUCGUGCAAGGAUGAACGACAUUCUGAUACAUUUAUUUAUAUCUAUAAGAACGAUGCCAUUAUGUAGUGAUAAUUUAUAGUAUGAAAGAAACACGUUUACAUCCAUUAUUUUUUCGGCAGAUGCACUGACAUGCAUACAUGGCAUGUCCGCGCGUUAUUCGAUCAUCGUAUUUUAUUGAUGUUCUGGAACGAGGAGCGAAGGAAGCAGCACUGAGACAUGCAGCAGCAGAAGCAGCUAGCUAGCUUUAUCAGCCGACAUGGGGCGUCUGGGCGACUGUGUCGACGAAGAUCCGGACGCGGUUGGUGCGGUAAUCCAUGGUCACCGGCGAGCCGACGGGCAGCACGACGAUGUCGGCGUCGGGCUUGUCCUUGAGGAUCACUUUCUUGGCUUCCUCCACGCUCUUCCCGACCACCUCCGGCCACGACGUCUUGGCGCCGCCGCACUCUGGUGCCGCCGUCGCCGUGGAGCUCAUGGUCGGCGGUUGUCGGUCGCGAAUUGAAACUGCAAAUCAGUUGAUGACAGAUAUGAUGCUCUGGCCUGUGAAUUAAAAGGAAACUAACAAACUACUGAUAACUACUGUAUUAGUAUUGCAAAAAGCUAGCCAAAAGCGUAAGGUAUGUAUGUAUUUGAAAGGCAGGGGCAGGCACACUCACGGGCAAGUGUGGCUUUGUUAUUGUGCUUCUUAUGCUGCUGAUUAAACGAGUAUGCACUGGUGAGGUAUUUAUAGAGCUGCUGCAACCUAGCUACUGGCACAGGAUGCGUGUGUGUUCAUCAGGAUUAUUAUUUGGUCUAAAGCUAGCUAGGCAAAUAUUAGGCCUUGUUUAGUUCACCCAAAAAACCAAAAACUUUUCAAAAUUCUCCGUCACAUCGAAUCUUGCAGCACAUGCAUAAAGCAUUAAAUAUAGUCAAAAAUAAAAAUUAAUUACACAGUUUGUCUGUAAAUCGUGAGAUGAAUCUUUUUAUUCUAGUUAGUUCGUAAUUGGACGAAAUUGCUACAGGGCUCCAAACCAAAAAAAUUUGGAAACUAAACAAGGCCUUAAACAAAAAGGAGAAAGGAUAAUGUGUUGAUGGUGGCAAGAAAUCGUAGCCGCUCCGCCGCUCAACAAUAAUGCGUGCAUAUAUUAUAUAUAUAUACGCACGAGGCACACGAGGUGGCCCCGGCCAGUAAUAAAAAACAAGAAAAGAAAAAGAUAGCAACGAUACAGAAACAUGCAUCCAUAUGGUUUUUCCUCGCUUGCAACCAAAUAGUGAGCAGAGCUUCAGUACGAGCAGCUGGCACUGAUGUACAGAAACUUGGCAAUUAGUGAAUAACGUCUUUUUCGUUAUAUUCUUCUCCUCUCAUCGAUCGUCGCGGCAACUAGAUAGUCUCGGACCUUUAGCUACAUAUAAUUGCUCCUGCUAAAUUAUUACAAGAUCUAUCCUAGAGAGCUCUCGAGAGAUUACUCAGUUAACCUACAUUUGGAGAAACCAAGUAAUGGGUUAAUUCGACUCUCCAUGGGACCGACUAAUUUUUUCUGAAUUUAACAUUGUUGUGUAGACGCUCGUCGACAGCGAGACAACUAUGAUAAAUUCAUCAAUCUCAAAGAUUUAUCGGUCUAGUCUUCGAAAAAGUUCAUAGAGUCAGGUUUACAUGCUUACAUUCAUAAGAUGAGUAUACUGUGUUGUACCGUUUGUAACUUUAAAAAAAUAACCGACCACUAUUGGUACAUGGUGGAUCUAUAUGCACCGAUCACUUAAACUGUCUUGUUCAUUGACCCCGAAUGCUAAGAUUUUUUUUUAUUGGAAAAGGUACUGCACGGCGGCAGAAUUUUUCUUCCAUAACAAAUGAAGCUUCUAUUAACUUUUUUUAAUGAAAGUUACAAUAAUUAACUUUCAACAUCACUGUGAAGGACCUGCUCAUGGGUUGUCUUUUGGGCCGCUCAAAACACGCGAAGGAUUAUGCACUAGCCACUGGGCUUCCUUUGGCCCACAGAACUAAUAAGCAGCAGCGUGGCGGGCGGGUACCAGAAUCCCAACUCUCGGGUAGCUGCUGUUACGGAUAUUUUCCGGGGUGAUCUCAUCUCCUCGGAUUCCCUUUACGGGAGAUCUAUCCUAACUACGACUUCCCCACGACGGCCUACGGGAUAUCACCCACGACUACGCACGUACCCGUGGAGACCGGUUCCACCUCCGUGAUAUCACCCACGACUCAUCGUGGGCACGAGUUUACUUGGGGCGAGAGUUUCCUCUCCCCCCGACUGUAUAAAUACCCGUGAUCAAUGAAUAAACAGACACCCCGAGUUCAUUCUAUUCCUCUCUGUUCUCGUACUCUCGCUUUCUACUCGUAACACGUUAUCAGCACAUCGCUCUCCCCUACCCCAGAGAGGAAUAGCUCGGUUGGAUAGAACAUCGUCGAGGGAUCGACCUUCGCCCAGGGCAUCACCCCAAGAUUGUACGGGAGUCAAUCCGAUGGAUGAGGAAAUGUGCCUAGUGGACAGUGGCACCACUAACUCUAUACUCAGGGAAAUAAAAUAUUUCCAAACUCUCACAAAGAGCAAAGAAAAUGUUUUAACAAUCGCUGGACGCGAUGCCGUAAUAGCAGGCUCUGGUAGAGCCAUUAUUACGCUCCCUAUGGGUACAACGAUUACAAUCGAGGAUGCACUUCUGUAUCCUGAUUCAACUCGUACCUUAUUGAGUUAUAGAGAUAUCCGCAAAAAUGGGUAUCAUAUCGAAACCCAUCACCAAAAUAAUGAGGAGUUCCUCCUCAUUACAAAGGAUAACGGAUAUGGCAGAGAUACUCUCGAAAGAAUUCCCUCCACUUCGUCUGGAUUGUACUAUUCAUACAUAAAACCUGUACAACAUGUUGCGUACAAAGUAAUUUUUCAGAAUGUCAAUGCAUUCCAAACUUGGCAUGAUCGCCUUGGUCACCCUGGCAUAGGGAUGAUGAGAAAAAUUACUAGCAAUUCUGUUGGUCACUCGCUAACCAAUGUAAAAUUUCCCCAAUCCUCGGAUUAUACUUGCACUGCAUGUGCAACAGGGAAAUUAAUUUUGAGGCCCUCUUCCCUCAAAAUCAAAGUUGAACCACUCAACUUCCUUGAACGCAUUCAAGGGGACAUAUGUGGCCCGAUAAAUCCUUUAUCGGGACCGUUCAGGUACUUCAUGGUUCUAAUAGACGCAUCCACACGAUGGUCUCAUGUGUCUCUUCUAUCGACACGAAACCAUGCUUUUGCCAAAAUAAUUGCGCAAGUUAUCAAACUCAAAGCGCAACAUCCUGAACAUCAAAUAAAAUCCAUUAGGAUGGAUAACGCUGCUGAAUUUUCCUCUCGAGCCUUCAAUGAUUAUUGUAUGGCCUUAGGAAUACAAGUACAGCAUUCUGUCCCAUAUGUCCAUACACAAAAUGGGUUAGCCGAGUCUCUCAUCAAGAGAAUCAAGCUCAUCGCUAGACCGCUACUGCAGAAUUGCAAUCUACCAACCCCAUGUUGGGGUCAUGCAGUCUUACACGCUGCUGAACUGAUUCAAUUGCGACCAACUGCAUACCAUGCAACGUCCCCGUUGCAACUAGUACAUGGAAAUCCCCCAAGCAUUUCCCAUCUGCGAAAGUUCGGUUGCGCUACAUACGUACCGAUCUCACCACCGAAGCGUACAACAAUGGGCCUCCAUAGAAAAUUGGGGAUCUAUGUGGGAUACAAAUCUCCGUCGAUUAUAAAGUAUCUAGAGCCCACCACAGGGGACCUCUUUACGGCCCGGUAUGCCGAUUGUAUCUUCAAUGAAGAUCAUUUUCCGGUAUUAGGGGGAGACUUACCACAUCACAAACAAUGCCAGGAAAUCAAUUGGGAUGCCCCAGACAUUCCCAACUCAGAUCCACGUACUUCAGAAUCUGAACUCCAAGUUCAGAAAAUCAUAAAUUUGCAACACAUUGCAAAUAACGUGCCAGACGCAUUUACUGAUUAUAAGGGUGUUACAAAAUCCUAUAAUCCAGCGAGAAAUGUACCGGAAAGAGUAGAGGUACCAAACAAAACUACUCAACUCCCUAGUAAGAGGGGGAGAAGUACGGCUAUCUCCACGGAUACAGCUUCUAGCAAGCAAAGGAAACGGAAGACAAAAUCUUCUGAUCCAGUAAAUGCAGCUCAACCUCAUGUUGAGGAACACCCAGUGGAGGUUCAACCUUCACAUCCCACAUCAACAGUGCACUCAAUUACUGAUGCUGGGACAUCGGAAUACCCUGAUGCGACCAUCUUGGGAAAUGAUGAUGCAUCGGAAAGGGUCCAUGAAAUUUCCAUCAACUAUGCAGAAACUGGAGAGUCAUUUGAUAGAAAGACUACAAUUGUCGACUCAUAUUUCUCCGCAAUGAUUGCCGAAAUCCUUGAAAAUGAUCCAGAUCCUAAGACCAUGGCAGAGUGCAAAACGCGCUCGGACUGGAACCAAUGGAAGGAUGCAAUCCAAGCAGAAAUAUCCUCGCUCACAAAAAGACAGGUAUUCUCACAAGUAAUACCUACACCUCCACAAGUAUUCCCUGUGGGAUUCAAGUGGGUUUUCGUCCGAAAGCGGAACGAGAACAAUGAGGUGGUGAGAUACAAAGCGAGGCUUGUAGCACAAGGGUUCACGCAGAGACCCGGCAUUGACUUCAAUGAAACAUACUCUCCAGUCAUGGGUGGAAUAACAUUCCGAUACUUAAUCUCUCUGGCUGUACAAAAUCGUCUAUCUAUGCAGUUGAUGGACGUAGUGACUGCAUAUCUCUAUGGGUCACUCGAUUCGGACAUAUACAUGAAGGUUCCUGACGGAAUCCCAAUACCGAAUCAAAACGCAAAUCGCAACAUGUAUUGUGUAAAGCUACAGAAAUCACUCUAUGGCUUAAAGCAGUCGGGAAGAAUGUGGUAUAACCGACUCAGCGAGUACCUUCUGCAGAAGGGCUACUCCAACAGUGAUGAUUGCCCAUGUGUCUUCAUCAAGAAAUCCCAAAUGGGAUUCUGCAUCAUAUCGGUGUAUGUUGAUGAUUUAAAUAUCAUCGGCCACAAACAAGAUAUUGAUGAGGCAUGCAAACAUCUUAAGACGGAGUUCGAGUUGAAGGAUUUGGGUAAAACCAAAUUCUGCUUAGGCCUACAGCUUGAGCAUCUUUCAACUGGAAUCUUUGUGCAUCAAUCUGCAUAUGUCCAAAAAGUAUUGGAGAGAUUCAAUAUGGACAAAGCAUAUCCUUCCAAAACCCCUAUGGUUGUUCGGUCUUUGGGAUUAAACACUAAUCCAUUCAGACCACAAGAUGAGGGGGAGGAAAUCCUAGGACCUCAUGUCCCAUACCUUAGUGCCGUUGGAGCACUGAUGUACCUUGCCAAUAGCACCAGGCCUGACAUCGCUUUCGCAGUGAAUUUGCUAGCAAGGCACAGUGCCGCUCCUACCAAGAGACAUUGGACAGGAGUAAAACAGAUCCUCAGAUAUGUUAAUGGCACAAGGGAUCUCGGAUUAUUCUUCCAAAGAGGAACAAAUCCUGAGAUGAUAGGAUACACCGAUGCUGGAUAUCAAUCAGACCCCCAUAAUGGCAGAUCACAAACCGGUUUCGUAUUCUUACAAAACGGAACCGCCAUAUCAUGGACAUCAUCCAAGCAAACCUUGGCAACAACGUCCACGAAUCAUUCUGAAAUAGUCGCAUUAUAUGAGGCCUCACGUGAAUGCGUUUGGCUUCGCAGAAUGAUCAACCACAUACAGCAAUCGUGUGGUCUUAAAGCUAUCACAGCUCCAACCAUUAUCUAUGAAGAUAAUGCUGCUUGUGUUACACAGAUGGAGACAGGCUAUAUCAAGAGCAAUAUCAACAAACACAUCUCUCCAAAGUUGUUCUAUCCUCAUGAAUUACAACAAAAAGGAGAGAUUGAUAUCUUGAAAACCAAAUCAUGCGACAAUCUCGCUGACCUAUUCACUAAGUCCCUACCAGCUUCCUCAUUUGAAAAAUGUGUCAAAGGAAUUGGUAUGCGACGACUUAGGGAUUUGCAAAGUUCAGGGGGAGAAAUCUCCUAGACAUUGGUCUGUCUACACCAUCGUAUUACACUCUUUUCUCUCUAUGAGUUUUUCCUCACAAGGUUUCUCAUAAGGAGUUUUUAAUGAGAUAAUGUUAACACAAGAGUGUCAUAUUCCUUGUUUUCCCCACAGGGGUUUUUAAAGGAGUAUCAAAGACACAUAUUGUCCUCUAAACUACAACAUGAGAUUUCUCCUGCAAAGGUUUUCUCAUAUUAGUUUACAAUGAGGCAAUCAUUAAGUGCUAUAACUUUCUCCUUCUUUUCCCAAGCGGUUUUAAGGAGUUUUACCAUAGCACAUAUACACACGUAUUUUUCCUCGUUUUUAUCCUACAGGAAUUUUUGGAGGAGCAAUACGAUUCAUUGAUCUCAACAAGUGAUUCGAUCAAGGAGGAGUGUUACGGAUAUUUUCCGGGGUGAUCUCAUCUCCUUGGAUUCCCUUUACGGGAGAUCUAUCCUAACUACGACUUCCCCCACGACGGCCUACGGGAUAUCACCCACGACUACGCACGUACCCGUGGAGACCGGUUCCACCUCCGUGAUAUCACCCACGACUCAUCGUGGGCACGAGUUUACUUGGGGCGAGAGUUUCCUCUCCCCCCCCCCGACUGUAUAAAUACCCGUAAUCAAUGAAUAAACAGACACCCCGAGUUCAUUCUAUUCCUCUCUGUUCUCGUACUCUCGCUUUCUACUCGUAACAGCUGCGAGCAAGAGCUUGAGGUGACCAUCUCCUCGACAUAAACCUAUCUUUUUUUUUGCUUGUAUGUGUGUUUUCUUGUAUUUAGAACUUCGUGACAAAUCACUAGGUAAUGUUAAGUUGAUACACCAUAUGCAUCCUCAAAACCCUUGCACUGUGCGUGCUACAUGUCAACAAGAUUUGCAUAGCAUAAAAAACUUUUAUAUAACAUAUAAAAUGUAUUUUGGUCCCAUGUCUAAAGUUUAUCCAUUAAAUUUUACUCACUCUGUCCUAUUCUCAUUUUCUGAUAAACAACUUUGACUAAAUAUAUAUAUUAAAAAAUAUUAAUACUUGAUACAUAAUUAGUAUCAUCGGAAAGGUCUUUAAUCUAGUUUUUUUAAUAAAUUUAUUUCAGAAAACAAUAUUACUUAUGUACAUAAUUAGUAUCAUCGGAAAGAUAUUUGAGUCUAGUUUUUUAACAAAUUUAUUUUGAGAAAUAAAUAUUGUACGUAUUUUUUGAUAAAUCUAGUUAAAUUUGUGACACAAAAACUUAAAAUAAUAGAUAUUUUGGAACGGAGGAAGUAGACCAUUUUAGUUUUUGUCCCUUCAAACCCCAUACAUUAUGGCCUUGUCUAGUUGGCAAAAUUUUUAGAUUUUGGAUACUGUAGCACUAUCGUUUGUUUGUGGUAAAUAUUGUCCAAUCAUAGACUAAUUAGGAUCAAAAGAUUCAUCUCGUGAUUUACAGACAAACUGUAUAAUUAGUUUUUGUUUUCGUCUAAAUUUAAUAUUUCAUGUAUGUGCUGCAAAAUUCGAUGUGACAAGAAAUCUUGAAAUUUUUUGCCCAUAGAGAUUGUGCAUGUUCCUUUAUCGGAGCCGGUGUACGAGGUCAUUGAUGUACUGGCAGGACAGGUUUAUGUUUGGUUCAUUGUGGGCACAUUCAAUUCGUUUGUUUCGGCAUCAUCAAAGCGUGAUUUUCCUAUGUUUUGUGGUGUGUAGGAUUAAGUUGUAUGAUCUUAAACACUUACUCUGGUGUGUGGCGCGAAGCUGGUUUUUCAAGUAACGGUGUUAUGAGGAGGCUUUUGGUCCUAGGAGAGCCGUAGAUGAUGACUUAACUUUGGAUUGUGUGGUUGGAGUGUACAGUAUUUGUUCUAAUAAUAACCUCCAGAUGCCACCGGCGGAGGAUUCCUUUAAUGUUCCAAAGACAAACUGACGGAGCUCCAGGAGAAGGGCUCCGAUGGCCUCCAUUAUACAUAUUUGCCUAUCAAAGGAGGAAGCUCAAAGGUCUGUGCAUGUCUACAAUUUUUCAAACAAAAAAACACACACACGUCAUGAAGCAGCAUAUUCAAUGUAGAUAAAAUUCUAUGAAGCUGCUACAUAGACGUUUUUUAUGAUAUGGCAAUGUUUUUAGGAAGAAAGAGAUGAAACUCUCUUGACACGAUUUUACCAAGAAUCAUGAAAUUAAAUGUCUUUGAAACAAUAGAAUAAAACUAAUGAGGGUAUAUAUAUGUUUCAUCCAUGUUUCAUUAUAUUUUACAUAAUAUAACUGUCCUGAUCUAAGUAACAUAACUGCGCGCUUUGACAGAGAAACAACUCGAAAUAAGAUCCGAACAACUUCAAAAAGAACACCUAAAUCAAAGUUUCGAGAAUUUAAUUAACACAACCAAGAUUCAAUUGUGUUUGACAGCUGUUUUUUAAUGAUAGAAAGUGAAAACAAACAACUGAUCAAUCCCCUUUGAUAUAUUCAUUUCGUACUAGGAAGUAGGAACACACUUGAUGCAUACAUAUUUAUUUAUGCAACAGCGAUGCCAUUAUUUAGUGCAUAUAUAUAAGUUUAUAAGUAGGGAAGAAACACACGUACACAUCCAUGCAUUAUUCGUCAGAUACACGUACGGACAUGAAUACAUAUAUAACAUGUCCGACUUAUUCAUUUUACAGAAUAGAAUAUUCAGUUCUGGAGCAAGGAAGGAAUCAAAGCUAGCUAGGCAUCACCCAGCCUCUUAAUUAAUCAGCCGAUGUGGGGUGUCUGGGCGACGGUGUCGACGAAGAUACGCACGCGGCUGGGCACAAAAUCUGCGGUCACAAUCGUGCCGACGGGCAGCACGACGAUGUCGGCGUCAGGCUUGUCCUUGAGGAUCACCUUCUUUGCUUCCUCCACGCUCUUCCCGACCACCUCCGGCCACGACGUCUUGGCGCCGCCGCAAUCCGCCGCCGUCGCCGUGGAGCUCAUCGUCGUCGGUUGUCGGUCGCGAAUUGAAACUGCGAAAUCGUCAGUUGAUCGAUGACGAUGCAAAAAAGGAAACAGACUACUGCUACUGCAUUAUUGCAAAGAAAAACGUAAAGUAUAGAAAGGCACACUCACGUGCAACUGAUACGGUGCUUAUUGCUAUCUUGCUUCUUGUACUGCUGGUUAGAUCGAUGAAGCGAGUAUGCACCGGUGAGGUAUUUAUAGAUAUCGAGAGCUGCAGCAGCCCUGCAGGAUGGAUGUAUACGAUGGAGAUGAACGGAUUGGAUCCUCUGACCUGCUGUUCUCUGUUGCAUCUGAACGCAGACACCAGAUCAUCCCAAUCCACAAGCAAUCUUGUUGACAAUUUUAGUCAUAAGCCAACAGCAAGCUUAACGUGCAAUCUAGCUUUUGAUCUUUCUACUCAACACAUGCAUCAUGGCUUGUACAUAUGCUAGUACUAGUCCUACGUUCUAGCUAGCUGUGUGGUACGGCAAAAUGCAUGCCAGGUCAUAUGUAGGAGUAUACUAGUUGAUAAAGAUGCUGCACAGCUGUUGGCUUCUUAUUAGCUAGCAGGUACUGACGUGUUGGAGGACAUGCAAAUUAAACUAAACAAGGUAAUCCACGCCGAUCUAUAAUUAAAGAACAAUAUCUGUAACAAUAUCCGGAAGAUGAUUGAUUGACGCACCAAAUUGUCAAAGCUGAAUACGUGUAAGGAGGGCACGGAUUUUCAAUCUCAACAAGAUUGUGCAGAUUUCAAAGUUAAAUAAAGGACCCUGUCUACUAACUUUAUAAGUGCAGAUUUCAAUGUUACCUUACAGUUUAGGCGAUAGAGACAUCUGAAAGUUUGAUGCCACAAAAAAUUUACAAAGUAGCCAGAGCUCUGCACUUAUACAUAUAUAAGACUUAACCUACGCAAGUUGCAGCUUUAAAGCCAUUCUAAAUCAAAGAAUAUUUCAAUUAGGUUAUGGUUGGAAAUAUAUCGUUAAAAUGCUAAUACUCACUAUAGUAGGAUUUCAAGAAAAGCUAUUUUGACUAAGAGGGGAUCUAACCCACCCACUUCUCAAGCGCCACUAGCUAAUCAGCGUUAGUAGACUCUGUGCUCGCAGUUGUGAAUCAAGGGAGAGUGCACUACUUAAUAUGUUGCUCUACGUCAAUGAUAUUUUAUCAUACUGCAUCGGUUACCUAUACUUCUCCGAGUUCUUAGCACGAUGUAGUGAAACUUGGCGGUGAUCUACUUAGGCUUGCAUGAAGUACUUUGGUGAGCCUUUUAGAGCAUCUCCAAUAGCCUUUCUAAAUCUCACUCUCUAAAUCAUCAUUUGGAGAGCCAUUUGCAUAAAAAUAGCUUUCUAUAUUUUUUUUUACUUUCCAACAGUUUUGCUAAAUCUUAUGGGCACUCUAGAGAGUCAUUCUCGUCUUCUAUAUUUGGCUAGCGAAAAACCCAGAAUAGACAAUGGCUAUAUUUAGAUGACCAUUUAGAGAAGCUGUUGGAGGGUAGUUUUUCACCAAAAUUGCUAUUCCUAGCAUUUAGGAAGAAUAUACAAAAUCUCUUGGAGAUGCUCAGGAACUCCAGCCCAAGUCCCUAAAUUAAGCCAUUAAACUUUUAUUUACAAGCUAUGAUAAAAAAAAAGUAGAGGCUCAAAUUAAGACCCAACUCCAAUAGAAAAAACAGACCAAGUCCUUAUCUCACAUGGGACCCACCUGUCAUUGAUAAAUUCUACAUCAACUCCAUCAUUUAUAAUUCUUGUCUUGAUUUAUGGGUGGAGAGAGGAAAGUGGAUGGGACCCACUAGAUAGGGGGUUGUGGAUGUGAGGGGCUGAAACUAUAAUUUGGGAGGAUAUAAAAAAUAGGAGCCUAAAUAUGAGGUGGGUUGAAGUUGAUUUUUUUUAGAUCAAAUAUAUAGCUCUUAGCUAGGCGAUACACUCUGGGCCAUUGAUGAGGUGCCUUAAGCAUUCACUUGUGAAUGUGAAGGCUGGGAUGUUUCUAUUCCUUAAUUAAAAAAAAGGUAGUUAGCUUGUGAGAUCCGAUGCUUGCUGUCCUGUCCAUCUAUCGACAAAUUAAUCAUUCAGUUUGCCUUGCGUUAUGUGUCUGUUGCUUCCGAUCUUUAGUACUAGUAGUAUGCAGGCAGACUGCUUUGACACCUAACACCGGUAAUAGCAAAAUACAAGCACACCACCAAUCAGAGAGUCCGGCUGUUUUUUUUUUAAUUUUGUUUUUAGGUCAAAGGGCUGAAGGCUUUAGGCAUCAACAUGUCCAUGUCUUGUUCCGGUGUCUUGGAGAAUAUUAAAUAUGGAGAUAUAAUUGGAGACUCUUUUAAAAAAAUGAUGCUUUUUAGUAGAACUUGAGUUCAAUAAUACUUUUACUAUUUUAGAAUUAACAUUUGUUCUAUUUAUACAUAAUAUAUGAAAAAAAUACGUACUCAAGUGAAAGUAUAUCUUAAUUUAUUAGCCUUACAAAUUUUAUAAAUUUUGGAGCCUCAGUUUGCAUUUCCCUCCGGGGCCUCUAUUUUCUGGAGACGGCCCUGUCUGUACGCUGCUCUUAAGUGCAACAAAGCUUCUUGUAAAAAAAAAUGGUCAGCUACACUUUUCACUGGGACACAGUUGCUGUGUCUGAAUGAUUUGUCCGUCAUCACCUCCGUCAACAGUACGUACGUUCAUCAUCCAUGCAAGGAUUAUAUUGGAACGUGCUUUGGACAUAAAUAUAACAGUGAUAACACACUAAUUCUCCAUAUAUGCAGAAGGACGACAUGCCGGAACAUGAGCAUUGUUAUUUGUGUUUUUUACCAAGUGUGCAUGCCGCAUAUAGUACCACAACAUCUUGAGCUGCGGGUGUGCUUACUAGAGGAGCAGAUGAGCAUUAUUGUUAUUUAGUAGUACAAUAUGUUACCAUUCAAAGAAAGUAAAACACACAUCCGGAACCAUUCGGAAGAUGCAUGAACAGGGUACAUGAUAGAUCGAUCAUGGCAUCUUCUGAGUUAUUAUGUUGAGUUUACUACACAUAUAUUUUGUUUCUUUUAUUCAGUUGUGGCUGGAGUAAAAGGGAGCUGGUGGCAACUAGCCAACAUGGGGCGUCUCGGCGACGGUGUCGACGAAGACGCGGACGCGGUCAGGCAGAUAAUCACCGGUCACCUUCGAGCCGACGGGCAGCACGACGAUGUCGGCAUCAGGCUUGUCCUUGAGGAUCACCUUCUUGGCUUCCUCUAUGCUGAGGCCAACCACCUCCGGCCACGACGUCUUGGCGCCGCCGCUCCCCGGUGCCGUCGUCACCGCCGCCGUGGAGCUCAUGGUCGUCGUCGAUCGUGUGGGUCGAGAGAUUAACUGCGAAUCAGGGGUGUUUAGUUCAAAAAAAAAAUGCAAAAUGGUAACUACUCAAAAUGAUGGAAUGUAAAAUGCUAAAAAAUUUUAGGUCAUGUUUAGUUACAUACAAAAUGCAAAAUUUAUUACCUUCAUGAGGCUCUUUUGGGUUUUUUAGCCUCUUAAGACUAAAAUCCAAAAUUAAGAAUAACCAUUUUUUACCAAAAGUUUUACAUGGUGUUUUGUUCUAUUUUGCAAUAUGAUGAACUAAAACCCAAUUUUUUUGAAACAGGAGGGAACUAAACACCCCCUCAGUUGAUCGAUCGAUGACGAUACAAAAAACAAAAGGAAACAGACAACUACUACAUUAUUGGGAAAAAAGAAGGUAUAGAAAGGCACACUCACGGGCAAGUGUUGCUUGCUAUCGUGCUUCUUUGUACUGCUGGUCGUGCUGGUUAUAUGAUUAUAUGAAGCGAGUAUGCACCGGUGAGGUAUUUAUAUUAUAGAGAGCUGUUGCAGCCUGUAGGAUGCAUACAUGUACAAUGGAGAUGAAUGGAUCGGAUGACGUGUUCUGCUUACCUCUGAAAGCAGACAUCCCAAUCCACAAGCAAUCUUGUUGACAAUAUAUUGACACACACAGCUAAACUUGAUCUGAAUUAGUCAUAGGCCACGCAAGCUUAACGUGCAACAUUUCGAUCUUUCUACUGAACACAUGCAUGGCUGGUAGUGACUGUGGUCGUCCUUUUUCAUUUUGUUACUUGAAGAAAAAGGGCAUUUCAGUUGAGAUUUGCCAACGAAAGAAAGAAGAGAUGGUAACAUUUCGUGAAUUUAACCAUAUUUAGUGGCAUUAGGUUGUCCUGUUAAUGUUGUUACUUAGACCAUACUCUUUGCAACGGAGAAAUGUCACAGUAAUUGAAAAAAAAUAUUAGAAAUCAAUUACACUUUAUAAAAAUUGCAGGUGGUCUAAUAUGGACUUAGGACCAGCUGUAACACCCAAAAAGUUCUUUGGAAUUAAUAGGAAUUAAAUUGAUUUAUUUAAGUAAUUUUGUGAGCAUUUGAAUCUAGCAAAUAAAUUAUUUUGUGGAAAAUUAAAAUUCAUCAAAAGGGUAGCAACACGCUUUUGCAUUCAUGCUGGGAAUAUCAUUUAUUUUUGUGUUGUUGUUUCUGUUUUUAUCUGAUUGUUUAUGUUUAAAAUUCUCUUUGGAAAAGUUUUGCAAAAGGAGAAAAAAAAAAAGAGAAAGGGAGAGAGACGCCGGCUCUCGGCCUGAUGGCCCAAUCGGCCGAGGCCCAAUCUUCCCACCCCCGCGCACGCUUUUCCCCUUCUCCCCUCACUCGGCCCACUCCCGCUCCCAGGCCCAGCACGCGCAUAGCCCAGCUCAGGCCCGCAGCACGCCUUCUUCUAUUCUUUCUCUGUUUCGCUGACAAUCGGGGCCCGCGUGGCAGCGUCCUGUUCUUCUUCCCCGCGUAUCCGACCGGGACUUUCCCCUCCGACGCCGAGCCGAUCCCGAAAACACCGGGAUCUCCUUGCUAUCUUGUGCACCAAGCGCCUAUAAAAGCUCAAGGACCUCCCCGCGACUUCCCUUUGCAGUUUUCCGCGUCCCGGGGUCCCUAUCCGCCACGUUCAUCGAGUUUUAGAUCUCGCCGAGUGAAACUCAAACCGCCGCCGCAGAGAGCCCACCUUGCACCCUCUCGGGCCAAACCAAGCGUCUUGGUGAGUUCGUCAUGAGGUCCUCGCUCUCCUGGUGUUCUUAUUUCGUUGUUUGGCGCUCGGAAUCGAGGAAUGGGUGAACUCCGGCGAGCUCGGGCUCCCAGCCAUGGCGCGCCACCGCGUCGGCUCCUGUUUCCGACGGCCGGCCGGCCAGGGGGGGGGCUCGGGGUGGUUUGGCAGCCGUCUGAUCGAAGAUCGACGGCUGACAAAAGGAGAUACCGAUUCGGCCGCCGUUUUGCUUAAGAGCCCCUGCAAAAAUUGAAGUAGUGACCCGCGGUCCUUAGCGUAUUCUGCAGAAUACGUUUUCUCGAAUUGAAACACGUAUUCCCUGUCGGCCGAGUUCAAAUACGCUUUGCAGAAAUUACAGAAUUGCCACUGAUUUUAUAAUGCUCAUAAAAUAUUCAUUUUAAUUCCGUUUUUGUCCAUUCAAAUUGCGUUAGGUCCGUAAUUAGAUGCUCUACAUGUUAGAAACAUUAAUUUACUAUUUUGAAGCUUUUAUUUCUGCAGUAUUAUUUAAUUAAUUAUUUCUCUAUAGGAAAUCUUAGAAAAUUCAUAUCUUCCGCGUUUUAAUUCCGAUUUUCGUGAACUUUACGUUUAUGUGAUCGUAGCGCUGCGUAGAAUAUUUUGGUGAACCUUUAUAUUUGUUUUACCACUGUUGGUGUAUUGUUCUAAUUAUAGUUUGUUUGCUUCGUGUAUGAUUGUCUACAUUGGAUUGCGCGUUGUUGUUUGAUGAUUGGGAUUAGACGGUGAGCCGUACGUUGGUGACCAAGCCCAAGCUUUUGAGGACCAGCAAGCUCAGGAGAGCUUUGAGCAAGGCAAGUAUAACUUGGGAUCAUCCUUGUUACCUAUUCACUUAUAAUUACACAUAUAUAUCAUAUGCAUGUUUUUACCUUGUCGACCUUAGCAAAAUCAUAGAUGAUUGUUACCUGGAUUCCUUGCUACCUACUUGAUAUGCAUUUGGUGUAGAUGUGCUAGUGCUUGAUAUAAUCCAUGAUCUUGUAAGAUGAUUAAUAGCUAUGCAAUGAACGUUAUAAGAUGACAAAUAACUAUAUGAGAUCUUGUCUGUAAGUGAUCACCGGGACAACAGUGCAACCAUGAGGGCUAUAAUGGCUCUGGCUUUAGCUCAGUAUGAAGAACUUUUCUAGCUUGUUAGAGGUUACCCGAAAGGGCGGAGGGGCUGAACCGACACGGGUAUAGUGCGAGCCCCUGUCCCUAUGUGUAUAGGCUGCGCGUCAUUGUGCCAUUCGGAAGGGGGGUAUCUAUAUCUGCUCGCAAAGGAAACCUUGCGGCCCUAACAUGUUAGACGAACUUUUGAAAGGCUUCAUAGUGAUCCCUGCCGACCUCCCUAGGAAGGGGGUUAAGAGAUUAGCUA
rnacentral:lncRNA from 1 species